rnacentral:tRNA from 1 species
GGUGGCUUAGUGGUAGAGUGCUUGCCUAGAAUGCAUGAGGCCUUGGGUUCGAUUCCUCAGCACCA